GCCUGGGUGGCAUAGCGGUUAAAGCGUCUGCCUUCGGCUCAGGGCGUGAUUCCGGCGUUAUGGGAUCGAGCCCCACCUCAGGCU
rfam:Ailuropoda melanoleuca scaffold829_45, whole genome shotgun sequence.